rnacentral:siRNA from 1 species
UAAAGAUCUCGGUCGGCCAAUAGC